rnacentral:rRNA from 1 species
CCUACGGGUGGCAGCAGUGAGGAAUUGGUCACUGGACGAGAGUCUGAACCAGCCAAGUAGCGUGAAGGAUGACUGCCCUAUGGGUUGUAAACUUCUUUUAUAAAGGAAUAAAACGAGGCACGUGUGCCUUUUUGCAUGUACUUUAUGAAUAAGGAUCGGCUAACUCCGUGCCAGCAGCCGCGGUAAUACGGAGGAUCCGAGCGUUAUCCGGAUUUAUUGGGUUUAAAGGGUGCGUAGAUGGGUUGUUAAGUCAGUUGUGAAAGUUUGCGGCUCAACCGUAAAAUUGCAAUUGAUACUGGCAGGCUUGAGUACAGUUGAGGUAAGCGGAAUUCGUGGUGUAGCGGUGAAAUGCUUAGAUAUCACGAAGAACCCCGAUUGCGAAGGCAGCUUACUAAACUGUGACUGACAUUGAUGCUCGAAAGUGUGGGUAUCAAACAGGAUUAGAUACCCUUGUAGUC